UGUAAGCGUAUACCAAAGUUGUUGCAGUUAAAACGCUCGUAGUCGGAAUUUGGCAGUUCCGGAUGUGUGCACGUCGUGUGCGCACUUCGCGGGGAUUGCUUUUGUGGUCUUGCGUAGGAUGAGGCACUUUUAUUAGUGAACGUCCUCACGCAACCACUUUUUACUGUGAGAAAAUCAGAGUGCUCAAAGCAGGCAUUUGCCGUGAAUGUAUUAGCAUGGAAUAAUAGAAUAGGACUUGGUUCUAUUUUGUUGGUUUGUUGGGACUGAGUAAUGAUUAAGAGGGACAGUUGGGGGCAUUUGUAUUUCGGUGCUAGAGGUGAAAUUCUGAGAUUACCGAAAGACAAACUGCUGCGAAAGCGUCUGCCAAGGAUGUUUUCAUUGA
rnacentral:rRNA from 1 species